UACCGUGCCGAGUGUGGUAGCAGUAAUGCCCACAAAAGUUUGCUUUUGAACUUUGAACAGCUCGUAGCACGGUUUU
rnacentral:ncRNA from 1 species